UACAGGGGGGUGCAAGCGUUAUCCGGAAUGAUUGGGCGUAAAGCGUCUGUAGGUGGUUUUUGAAGUCCACUGUCAAAUCCCCAGGGCUCAACCUUGGACAGGCAGUGGAGGACUCAAAGGCUAGAGUGCGGUAGGGGUAGAGGGAAUUCCUAGUGGAGCAGUGAAAUGCACAGAGAUUAGGAAGAACACCAGUGGCGAAGGGCGCUCUACUGGGCCGAGACUGACACUGAGAGACGACAGCUAGGGG
rnacentral:rRNA from 1 species